CCCUAGUCACCUUUUUUCUUUCUUUCUCCUUUAUGAUUUUUAAUACAUUUUUCUUGAUGAAGAAGCCAGUGGCACUUCCAAAGUUUGCAACGUGUAUAUUGUGCACUUUGGUUGGCCCAAUAAAGGUAUCCCUGUUUUAGUGGAUUUUGGAUAUUAGUGACCAUGGCGUUUAUUCAAUGGGCUUCUUUGCCAUGUCCAAAAUGGAAAACAUUUUUGAACUCCUGGACAGAAGGUUUAAAUGUAGGAAAUGUCUUGGAAAAGGAGGACAUCAUCGUGAACAUAUGCUCUAUCUCCAUGCUUUUUUUUGUCUCAAAGGCCAAAUAACCAGUUGCAUGUAACAAGAAGUUAAGUACAGUGUUGUUUCUCUGUUGUCUAGCAUCCUUCUUCUUUGGGCAGUAAACCUUUUUGUCUUUCCAGCAAUGCAGAUUGGAGGCAAGCAGUCCUAAUACAGAGAUCAAGAUGGCAAGUCGUCCUGAGGAGCAAAGUGUACUGGCUCGGCCACCUCCUGUUACAAAUGGUUUACCACAGGAUGCAACUUUGGGCGCCGCUGCCAUCCAUCAUGGUGCCAGCGCUGGCAUUCGCAACGUCCUGGAGAGUCAUAGAGUCCUCCGAACACCCCUGCGAAGCCAGCAAGAGAAGGGGACCAUAGAGGACAGGCUGAAGGUGUACUGCUACCUGCCCAAGAGGCGGGAGCCCCAUGGAUUCUAUUUGUCCCGCUCGAUUCCUUCCAAAGUGGAUUGUUUCUGGAAGAAGAGAGCCACGGAGGCCAGCCAGGACUGACCCUUCUGCUCCUCUGACAAAUUUCCAAAGCUCUGCGCCAUGAGGUGGCCCACCGCACCUUUCCCUUUCCCGAAGCAAGCGUUCACGAUAAUGAUGGUUUUAUCGGAAGAUUGUGCCUUCAGAAUCGCCAUGUUGAGGAGCAUUGGAUGGACAGCGCUUCACGCUCAGCAACCAGGUUGUUGUUGUGCCUUUCCUUGUACCCACCUUCUGUAUCUUGUUCUUAAAAACAAGUAGAUAAAUUGUUCCGGUUCCAAAGGUACAAAGAGAGAGGAGCCUUUCUCCUUCUGUUGGAGGGAUAGAGAUUAAUAUGAGAUUGUAUUGUAUUGUAUGAAAUAUUCCUCCUUCUAUUUAUCUCAGGCUUUAGCACUUACUUUUGUAAUAAAGGAUGUGAAA